rnacentral:lncRNA from 1 species
UCAUUGUUAGCGUAGGACUAGGAAAAACAGUCUGCAUUAGCCCAUAAAAAUUCAAUCAAUUUACUUUGAGUUUGGGGUCGUGUCCCGAAUUGAUGUAUAUUCCAAUCUGGGAAGUCCAUGAAGAGUAUAAAAGCUUCUAACACUUCGGCAAUUAAUUGUAUCUGAAGCGUCAAGAUCCUAUUAAUUCUUGCAUAAGCUUUCUUUGGUGGUAGGAUCUAAUUUCUCGAAUUUUCCAUUUGGAUAGGAACUUGAUUUAAAGUAAUAUGACCACAUCCUUGGCUACCCCUUCUGCCAAAGGUUUUUAGGAUAAUCUCACCUUGCAUCAUCUCGCCGGAAUUGUUCCAUCGAGAGAAUAAGUGCGUACUUGGGAUAAUUUGAUCUGCCACUUUCAUCUCUUUGACGUUGACUAACAUUUACUGAGCUAUCCGAAUCAACCAAAAUUUGGUUAACACCUGCAUUCAAAAAUCGUUAUGUAAUUAUCGGGACGUGGUUAUGUAGCAUCAAAUUCUGUAUGCAUCUUCAUCGUCGAAAUUGAUACUUUCUUCGGUUGACAUUUCUCGCCUACAUUUUUCAUGUUUGAUUGACAUUUAAGAAACGUUCUUUGCUGUUGCAUAUGUCACUCCAUUAAAUUCUUGUCCUCCAAAAAUAACAUUGACCAUUCAUUUUGGUGAUAGCCCUGGAGGUCUUUCCUUGCUCUGAUUCUUCAUGUAGUAUUUUGAUAUUAGACUAUAUUGAUAAUAUUUACACCUUAAUAUUGUCAUGCUUUAUUAUUAUUUUAUAGGCAAAUGGAUAACAAAAUAUUGUAAUUGGUAUUCUUUUGCUUCACAAAGAAUAAUUUAAGUGAGGAAGCACUACGAAGUAUUUUGAAGUUAAUAAUGUGAAGAAAACGCCCACUCAAGAAGUACUCCGGUAUGAAGAAGCAGAAAAAUAGACCGAGGUAAGAUCCACCGCGAGCGCGGUGGAACCAUGGUCGAUCAAUACGCAAGGCAGAAUGGUCAGCGCUCACCGUGAUCGCGCCGCAAUCUUGCCACGGCCGCGGUGAACUGUUCAAAUGAUAGAAAGUAUGGGCACCAAAGUGUAAUUCGGGGAAAACUUGUUCUAAAUCCUUAUAAACCUUAGAAGCUCGCCAAAAAUAAUUUUUUGCUUCUUUGUGCUCUGGUACUUCUCGAGUGGGUGUUUUCUUCACAUUAUCACCUACAAAACACUCAAUGUUGCUUCCUCACAUAUAGUAUUCCUACGAAACAAGAGAACACUCUUUAGAGUAUUUUAUUG